rnacentral:rRNA from 1 species
UAAGGAAUAUUGGUCAAUGGACGCAAGUCUGAACCAGCCAUGCCGCGUGAAGGAUGAAGGUCCUCUGGAUUGUAAACUUCUUUUAUCUGGGACGAAAACGGGAUUUUUAUCUCAAUUGACGGUACCAGAGGAAUAAGCACCGGCUAACUCCGUGCCAGCAGCCGCGGUACUACGGAGGGUGCGAGCGUUAUCCGGAUUUACUGGGUUUAAAGGGUGCGUAGGUGGGCUUAUAAGUCAGUGGUGAAAUCUCCGAGCUUAACUUGGAAACUGCCGUUGNUACUAUAGGUCUUGAAUUCUCUGGAGGUAAGCGGAAUAUGUCAUGUAGCGGUGAAAUGCUUAGAUAUGACAUAGAACACCAAUUGCGAAGGCAGCUUACUACAUAUAAAUUGACGCUGAGGCACGAA